rnacentral:SRP_RNA from 1 species
GCUGGGCGUGGUGGCGUGCGCCUGUAAUCUAGCUACUUGGAGGCCAGGGUUCAGAAUUCUGCGGGACCGGGAGUUCUGGCACAUGGGUGCUCAUGUUGAUCGGACGUCCACGCUAAGCACGGCACCGAUAUGGAUAACCUGUUGGAG